GGAGAGGUGGCCGAGCGGUCGAAGGCGCUCCCCUGCUAAGGGAGUAACCGGGUAAUACCGGUUCGAGGGUUCGAAUCCCUCCCUCUCCG
rnacentral:tRNA from 1 species